rnacentral:lncRNA from 1 species
GGACACAGGAACAGCUUCAGCUGGCUUGGAGAAGCAGCCAGAAGCAGCAGUUCAUCUGAUCAAUGGCCAGGUGGAAUGACUUUCAGUGUCUAGCAGUGUGAACUAGAGAUGAACUGCUCUUCUGGAGGGUAAAGGUUGGCUUCUAUUUUCUCUCAGGUGCAACUAAAGUUUCCUAAGGCAAGAAACGGAAAAAGAAUCAGCAACAUCUGGAGUUAUCUAUGCUUCUGCCAAAUAAAACGAACACGUCUGAAGAGGGCUGUUACUCAGAAUAAAAAGGGAAGUGAUGACUAAUAAGGAAAUGCAAUUUACCAAAAAUAUCUCAUUUUGCCUUUUCUUAAAUAUAUCAGUCUUGUAAGUCUCCUUGACCACCUAAAAGUCCUGCUUGGAUGGUGCGAGAGUAAGAUUUGUCCAGAAAGAACAAAUAUUUGGC